rnacentral:lncRNA from 1 species
AUAAUAGGUCAAGUGAAUGGUGCCUUGCAUUGGAGCCCUUGAAUCAUCAUCAUGAAAGAUCAAGAGGUGAGGCGUGAUGGACAUGUGAUUGGCAUGUGAUGUUGACUUGGUCAAAAUAUGGCACCACAUGAAAGGACAUAUCAUUUGAUACACCUCUUCACUUGAUCUGCGCCUCCUCUUAUUUGAUAUGGCCCUUUAGAUGAUGGUCUUUCAUGAAAGGAUGUACGGAUGGGAUGCAUCCCUUGGAGAUGCAUCCCCACGCCUAUUAUAAAUAGGCUAGCGCUCCAUGGGUUUUAUCAUUCCAACUCCACCGCAUUCUCUCUCCCUUAUCCCUUCUUUCUUACAAGCCUUUGUCUCUUCUAGCAUUACUUCUAGAGUGUCCUAAGUCAAGACAAGGUGGUCUUCUUUAGGACAAAAAGAUUAGAAGUGAUUUAGAAAGGUGAAAGAAAAAUAAGAGAGAAGAGAAAGUAAGCCAAUUUAAAUCCUUUGGAAGGAUUUAGCAUUAAGGAUCAAAAGUCUUUGGAGCUAAAGUCUUGAUCGAGUUUCCGUAUGGAUCACCAUUGGAGGGCGGACACUGGGACGCCUCGUGGAGAUCAUUCAUAUUGGAUCAGCGUUUGAGGUAUUCUUCUAUUCCUAUAUUUAUAUUUAUAUAUUAUUUGAUUGUUACCAUUAAGAUGAUCUAGGCUUAUAAAGGUUUCAUGUUAAAGGACUUUAUUAAGAAAUUUUUAAAAUCCCUAGCUUCCGCUGCCCAUUAUGACAUGUUAGAACCCUACAAUGGUAUCAAAGCCAUCCUUAAUUGGUUCAAUCAAAUAAUUAUGCAUGAUGUAUGAUUAUUAAAUUACUAUGAGAUAGUAAUAUCAUAUGUUUAGAAGAAUGCUGAAUUAUAUGAUUCAUAUAUGAUAUAUAAUAAAAUGUCAUGAUAUAAAUUUUUCAUAUGAAGAUAUGUUGAAGCAUGUUAAUUAAUCCAAUCAAUUGGUAAUAAUUUGUACAUGCUAUGAGAUAGCCAUGAUGUUUAUAUACUAUAAGAUAGUAUUAUGUUAUAAAUAUCAUGAUAUGAAUUUUCAUGUGAAGAUAUGUUAAUUGAUUUAGUUAAUUGGUACAUGCUAUGAGAUAGCCAUGAUGCAUAAUAGUUGGUUAUGAUUUAUAUAUGCUAUGAAAUAGAUAUAUAAUUUACUAUAGCAUAUACAAAGACAUGUUCAACAUAUUACAAUUAUAGAAUGUGCAUGAGACCAGUAAGCCCUCAAUAAAAUUUUAUUAAGUCAUAGUGUUGAAAAACUUUGAGCUGACCCAUUCUAAAACAAUUUAUCUAAUUGGUGUCUAAGGAACGCACUAAAGGUUGUUCUCUAAUUAAGACCUUACUCUCUGAGUAAGGGGAGCCCCCCACCUGCUUACCUGGCCAAUUGUUUGAUUGCCUAUUAUAGAUAAGCUUAAUGUUGAUAAAACACUACUGAUAUCCUUCCUUCAUACCUCGACAUUAUUAUGUCAAGAUCCAUGCUAGUUUGUUGUGCAACCACAAGGCUUGCAAUGGGAACUGAUGUUAUACUGUCUUGGUGCAUAGAGAUGCUUAUGGCAUAUUUUAAUAUGUUGCUUUGUUGUGCAACCACAAGAGCAAUAUUAUUUGAAUAUGACUGACUGUAUGGAAAUGAAGGGUUUGACUUAACUAAAAUAUUAUAGUUUGUUGUGCAACCACAAGGCUAUAAGUGUUUUAAGAGGACAGGAUAAAGUUGAGAAUUGCAUGAGAUGCAAUUGAAAAGAGUUUCCUACCUUUGAAUUCAUAAGGGUUUGUUGUGUAACCAAAAGGCUUUUAUGAUGAAUUAGCAUCUCAACCCUACUAAGAAAAAUUAGGCUUUUUCUCAUUCAUCAUAGGAGAGGGCUAUGAUAUUCGAUAAAAUAGUGGGAGUAACAAUUAGAUAAAGUCCUAGUCUAAUUGUAUACAUGUCACCAUGAUUGGUCUGUUUAUGUUAGUUUUGUUCUUUGUAUAUGUAGAAUAAAAUUCUGCAUUAAUGACAUCUUCACUAUCACUAAGAAGCAUCUUAGAUGCCAACAAGUUGACCGGUCCGAACUAUAUGAACUGGUUGAGGAAUCUUAAAAUUGUUCUCACUCAAGAGAAACUUUCUUACAUCCUCAAAACCCCUGAUCUUAGAUCAAUAGGGGAUGAUGCUACUAAAAGUAGUAAGAUAAAGAGAAAGAAGGAAAGAAAAUCUCCAGAUCAAGUACCUAUUUCCAUUGCGGCAAGGAAGGCCACUAGAAAAGGAAUUACAAGAGUUUUCUUGCAACUGUAAAGCCUGAUGCAAGAGUUGCAUCAAAAGAUAUGUUUAUGUUACAUGCCAAUUUGUCAUUAAGUUCUUCAAAUUCAAAUUUACGGAUAUUGGAUACUGGCUGUGGUUUUCAUAUAUGCAAGACAUUGCAUGGACUGAAAAUUAGAAUUUUGAAGAAAGGUGACUUCAAGCUUUAUGGCGCUGGAGGAGAGUCCCUCCAGGCUGAAACUGUUGGAACCUACAGAUUAGAGUUGCCGUCGAGCAAGCUCCUGGGAUUAGAACAUUGUUAUCAUAUGCCUAAGAUUAUAAGAAAUGUAAUUUCCAUUCCUUUGUUAUUAAAGUAACGAUUUGAGAUUAAUGGAAAGGGCAAUGGUUGCCCUAUUUUUUUUUCUAAUAAGCAUCUUUGCAAUGGCAUUAUGAAAAAUGGUCUUCUAGUUCUAUCCCUUAAUGACAAUAUUUAUCAUAUUGAUAAAAGUAAUAAAAGAAAGAGAGAAGAGGUAAAUAACACCCUCUUUUGGCAUUGCUGUCUAGGUCAUAUUAGUGAGUUAAGAAUACACAAGUUAUACAAAGGAAAGUUCUUUGAUCCUUAUGAUUUUGAAUCAUUAGGAACUUGUGAAUCUUGUCUUAUGGGCAAAAUGACCAAGUCUCCAUUCACUGGACAUGGAGAAAGGGCAAGUGAGUUGCUAGGACUUGUGCAUACAGAUAUAUGUGGUCCUAUGACAACUCCAACUAGAGGUGGAUACUCUUACUUCAUCACAUUCACUGAUAUGUGUAUCUUAUGAAACAUAAAUCCGAAGCCUUUCUAGUGAGUUUUUAAAAUUCUUCGAUCUGAUUGAGGAGGUAAAUACCUUUCUAGUGAGUUUUUAAAUCAUCUUAAAGAAAAGAGCAUUAUCUCUGAAUGGACACCUCCGUAUACGCCACAGUUAAAUGGUGUAGCCGAACGGAGGAAUCGUACUUUAUUAGAUAUGUUACAGUCCAUGAUGUGCUUUUAUCUUCCUAUUUUAUUCGAAGGUUUUGCCUUAGAGACUGCUGCAUUAAUAUUAAACAAGGUACCUUCAAAGUCUGUACCUAGCACUCCAUAUGAGAUAUGAAGAGGAAAGAAGCCUAAUCUUAAAUAUAUUAAGAUAUGGGGCUGUCAAGCUUAUGUCAAAAGAAAUUUUGGACACAAGCUAAGUGCUAGAUCAGAUAAGUGUAUUUUUGUAGGUUAUCCUAAAAUAGUAUAGGAUACAUCUUCUAUCAACCUACCGAACAAAAGGUCUCUGUAGGUAGGCAUGCCAUUUUCAUGGAGAAAGAGUUUUUCCUUGAAAAGUGCAAGGAUAGAAGAAUUGAACUUGAAGAAGUUCAAGACCUACAAAUGGAGACACAAAAUAUUCCUCAACCAGAUGUAUCUAUGAAUGAGAUACAACCACAACACACAUCUUCUCUCUGAAGGUCAAAUAGAGUGCGAAAUACACCUAAGAGGUAUGGUUUUGUCAUUGAGAAUGAUGAAGCUCACAUCAUUUAGAAUGAUGAUCCUCUAACCUAUUCGGAAGCUGUCAUGAGUAGUGACUCAGACAAAUGGCUAGAGGCCAUGAAAUCCGAAAUAGACUCUAUGUAUACCAACCAAGUAUGAACUUUGGUUGAUGCACCAGAGGGUGUAAACCCUAUAGGUUGCAAAUGGGUCUAUAAGAAAAAGACUGGAGCAGAUGACCAAGUAGAAACCUACAAGGCUAGAUUGGUGGCAAAAGGUUUCAGGCAAAAGCAAGAAAUUGACUAUGAUGAAACUUUUUCACCAGUAGCUAUGCUCAAAUCUAUUCGGAUUAUGCUUGCAAUAGCUGCAUACUAUGAUUAUGAAAUUUGGCAGAUGGAUGUUAAAACCAUCUUCCUUAAUGGUCAUUUUGAGGAAGAGGUUUACAUGACAUAGCCAGAAGAAUUUGUCUCAAGAGGGAGAGCAAAUCAAGUAUGCAAGAUUAAGAGAUCCAUUUAUGGAUUAAAGCAAGAAUCGAGGAGUUGGAACAUCCGUUUUGAUACAACAGACAAAGAGUUUGGUUUUAUCAAAAAUGUGGAUGAACCAUGUGUGUACAAGAAGACUAGUGGGAGUGCCAUUGUCUUCUUAAUAUUGUAUGUAGAUGACAUACUAAUUAUAGAAAAUGAUAUUUCUAUGUUACAAUCGGUCAAAACUUGGCUAUCAAAAAGCUUUUCCAUGAAAGACUUGGGAGAAGCAUCCUAUAUACUUGGUAUAAAGAUCUAUAGGGAUAGAUCUAAAAGGAUGCUAGGCUUGUCCCAGUCUAGGUACAUAGAUCAUGUGCUAAAAAGAUUCAGCAUGGAAGGAAGUAAAAGAGGUUACUUGCCUAUGAGUCAUGGCAUACGUUUUUUUAAGAAGAUGUCUCCUAAGACAUCUGAAGAGAGAAAUAGAAUGAAUUCUAUUCCCUAUGCUUCGGCAAUAGGAUCAAUAAUGUAUGCUAUGCUAUGUACCAGGCCUGAUGUUGCUUAUGCCUUAGGCAUAACAAAUAGAUUCCAGGCUGAUCCAGGAGAGGAUCAUUGGAUAGCUGUGAAAAAUAUUCUUAAGUACUUAGAGAAGGACUAAAGAUAUUUUUCUAGUUUAUGAUAGUUCUGAGUUGAAACUAGAAGGAUUUUUUGAUUCUAGUUUUCAGUCAGACCCAGAUGAUAGUAAGUCUACUUCAGGGUAUGUCUUUACCCUAAAUGGUGGUGCAGUGAGCUGGAAGAGUUAAAUAGCAAACUGUAGUUGACUCAACUACUGAGGCAGAAUACAUCGCUGUAAGUGAAGCCGCUAAAGAAGCUGUCUGGAUGAAGUAAUUCAUCUCAGAGUUGGAAGUAAUUCCUGAGAUUGUUGAACCAGUCCCAGUUUAUUGUGAUAACACUGGAGCUAUUGCUCAAGUAAAGGAACCAAGGUCUCAUCACAAAUUCAAGCACAUUCUAAGACGCUUCCACCUCGUUCGAGAGAUUGUCGAGAGACAAGACAUAGUCAUUGAACGAGUAGACACAAAGAACAACCUAGCAGACCCAUUCACUAAAGCUCUACCACAAUAGCAGUUUGAUUGCCACCUUGAUUGUAUGGGGAUAAAAUAUAAAAGCGAUUGGCUUUAGUGCAAGUGGAAGAUUGAAAGAAUAGAUGCCCUACAAGCCAAUCGCAAUAUGUAUUGCGAAGGAUUUUCUUUUGAUUUUUCAAAUCAUGUACAUGACAUUUAAUAUAAAUAAAGGUAUUAUGUUUCAUCAUAUCUUGUUGAUUAUAUUUGUGAUGAACCCCUUAGAUUAGGGCAAUGGUUUUGAGACUAUGAUGAGAUCAUACAAGUGAGAUAUUACUGGAUAGACUGGCACAUCUUAUGUAUGCUCGAUGCAGAGGGUGAUUGAUCUCACAAUCACAAAGAUGUGGAUGCUUAUUAGAGGAAUGAGUUCACUGAAUUGACCUGAAAAGAGAAAUCUCAUGAAGUCUUACUUACAUGUCAAAAGAUGAUUUUCUUAGUCGGAGUUGUGCAACUGAUCCUAUGACCUAAGAUCACCAUGGUAUCUUGUGCACAUGAAUCCAUAUUUUGGUUUACACUCAUUCAUGACUUUAAGUUAUGUACGGGUCUUCUGGAUAUGGUGAAUUGUAUACGAAGAUUAUGAGUAGAUCAACAAGAAAUUAAUCACUUCUAGUAAGAGAAGUUCGCAUCCUAUUUAUUCUAUUCAUAUGAUAAUUCAGGAAGCCUUUGAUCAAAGUAGAAUGAAAAUUAGAAAGAGUUUUUAAUAUUUCAUUAUUUGAAUUAUCAAUAAAAGAUUGAGAAAGAUAUGAAUAUGAAAUUGAGUUUGAUAUAUAUUCAUACUCAUAUACAUAUUCGGGAUGCAGUUUGAUUAAAGGAUUGAAUUGCACGGUAACUUGCCACUGAAGGGUAUUUUUGGUAUUUCAUCCAAAUUUCAUAUUUUUCGGGUAGACAUGACACGUUGCUAGACGUCAAUCUUGUUUUAUAGGUUUGAUCGAAUUAAAGAGUUUAAUUCGAUCACCAAUUAGAAAGAAUUCUAAUUGUUAAGUUCGGAUUCACGCAGUUUGGACCUAAAUCGAUUAGAAGAGUUCUAAUCAAGUUGGGUCAACUCGCACUCACACCUAUUGCUGGCUAAAUAUAGAACCCAAUGUGUCACACACAAGAAAACUUAUCAAGGGUCUAAUUGGAUUAGAUCAUGUUUGCAAGAUAGACAUCCUAGCAGGUGUUGCAAACCCUUAGCUCCUAAUUUGAAUUGGAUUCGAAUCUGAUUCAAAUUGGAUUCGAAUCUGAUUCUUAAUUGAUCUAAUUUGAUUAGAUCAUAUCCUAAUAUUGGUUAGCCAAGAGUUAGCACCUAACUGGCUUGGUUUGAUUCUAAUUAGAUUAGAUUUGAUAAAUCAUUCAUUUUUGACCGUUAGAUCUUCAUCUACCGUUGGAUGAAGACAUAAUGGUGAGUUAAUUCAAAGUCAAUUAGAUUGGGUUAGACAAGGGCUAUCACCUUUGACCAUUGAAUCUUCAUCCCACCGUUGGAUGAAGACAUAAUGGGUUAAGUGAAUGGCGCCUUGCAUUGGAGCCCUUGGAUUAUCAUCAUGAAAGAUCAAGAGUUGAGGCAUGAUGGACAUGUGAUUGGCAUGCGAUGUUGACUUGGUCAAAAUAUGGCACCACAUGAAAGGACUAUUAUUUGAUACACCUCUUCACUUGAUCUGCGCCUCCUCUUAUUUGAUAUGGCCCUUUAGAUGAUG